AUUGAACGCUGGCGGUAUGCUUAACACAUGCAAGUCGAACGGUAACAGGCCUUCGGGCGCUGACGAGUGGCGGACGGGUGAGUAACGCGUAGGAAUCUGCCUCAUAGUGGGGGACAACGUGGGGAAACUCACGCUAAUACCGCAUACGCCCUACGGGGAAAGGAGGGGAUCUUCGGACCUUUCGCUAUGAGAUGAGCCUGCGUUAGAUUAGCUAGUUGGUAGGGUAAAGGCCUACCAAGGCGACGAUCUAUAGCUGGUCUGAGAGGACGAUCAGCCACACUGGGACUGAGACACGGCCCAGACUCCUACGGGAGGCAGCAGNGGGGAAUAUUGGACAAUGGGCGAACGCCUGAUCCAGCAAUACCGCGUGUGUGAAGAANGCCUUAGGGUUGUAAAGCACUUUCAAUUGGGAGGAAAACCUGCCGGCCAAUACCCGGUAGCUUGACAUUACCUUUAGAAGAAGCACCGGCUAACUCCGUGC
rnacentral:rRNA from 1 species